rnacentral:rRNA from 1 species
AUUGAACGCUGGCGGCAGGCCUAACACCUGCAAGUCGAACGAGUGGCGGACGGGUGAGUAAUGUCUGGGAAACUGCCCGAUGGAGGGGGAUAACUACUGGAAACGGUAUCUAAUACCGCAUACCAUCGGAUGUGCCCAGAUGGGAUUAGCUAGUAGGUGGGGUAACGUCUCACCUGGGCGACGAUCCCUAGCUGGUCUGAGAGGAUGACCGGCCACACAGGAACUGAGCAAGGGUCCAGACUCCUAGGGGAGGCAGCAGGGGGGAAGAUUGCACAAGGGGCGCAAGCCUGAUGCAGCCAGGCCGCGUGGAUGAAGAAGGCCUUCGGGUUGUAAAGUACUUUCAGCGAGGAGGCGUUACUCGCAGAAGAAGCACCGGCUAAUUCCGUGCCAGCAGCCGCGGUAUUC